AGCAGCCGCGGUAAUUCCAGCUCCAAUAGCGUAUAUUAAAGUUGUUGCAGUUAAAAAGCUCGUAGUUGAAUUUCGGGACCAUCAUGUCGGUCGUGCCUCGGUACGUACUGGCAUUGUUGGUUUCUCCCUUCUGACGAACCAUGAUGUCAUUUAUUUGGUGUUGUGGGGAAUCAGGACUGUUAACUUUGAAAAAAUUGAGUGUUUAAAGCAGGCUCACGCUUGAAUUACAUUAGCAUGGAAUAAUGAAAUAGGACGUUUGAUUCUAUUUUGUUGGUUUCUAGGAUCGACGUAAUGAUUAAUAGGGAUAGCUGGGGGCAUUAGUAUUCAAUUGUCAGAGUGAAAUUCUUGGAUUUAUUGAAGACUAACUACUGCGAAAGCAAUUUUGCCAAGGAUGUUUUCAAUUAAUCAAGAACGAAAGUUAGGGGAUCGAAGACGAUCAGAUACCGUCGUAGUCUUAAACCAUAAACCUAUGCCGACUAGGGGAUCGGGAUGUAUGUUUAAUUUUUAAUGACUUCAUUCG
rnacentral:rRNA from 1 species